CGAGCGGAAGGCCCUUCGGGGUACUCGAGCGGCGAACGGGUGAGUAACACGUGAGUAAUCUGCCCCUGGCUUUGGGAUAGCCACCGGAAACGGUGAUUAAUACCGGAUACGACCACUUCUCGCAUGGGAUGGUGGUGGAAAGUUUUUCGGCCAGGGAUGUGCUCGCGGCCUAUCAGCUUGAUGGUGAGGUAAUGGCUCACCAUGGCUUCGACGGGUAGCCGGCCUGAGAGGGUGACCGGUCACACUGGGACUGAGACACGGCCCAGACUCCUACGGGAGGCAGCAGUGGGGAAUAUUGGACAAUGGGCGGAAGCCUGAUCCAGCAACGCCGCGUGAGGGAUGACGGCCUUCGGGUUGUAAACCUCUUUCAGCAGGGACGAAGCGCAAGUGACGGUACCUGCAGAAGAAGCACCGGCCAACUACGUGCCAGCAGCCGCGGUAAUACGUAGGGUGCGAGCGUUGUCCGGAAUUAUUGGGCGUAAAGGGCUCGUAGGCGGUCUGUCGCGUCGGGAGUGAAAACCAGGUGCUUAACACCUGGCUUGCUUUCGAUACGGGCAGACUAGAGGUAUUCAGGGGAGAACGGAAUUCCUGGUGUAGCGGUGAAAUGCGCAGAUAUCAGGAGGAACACCGGUGGCGAAGGCGGUUCUCUGGGAAUAUCCUGACGCUGAGGAGCGAAAGUGUGGGGAGCGAACAGGAUUAGAUACCCUGGUAGUCCACACCGUAAACGUUGGGCGCUAGGUGUGGGGUCCAUUCCACGGAUUCCGUGCCGCAGCUAACGCAUUAAGCGCCCCGCCUGGGGAGUAC
rnacentral:rRNA from 1 species